rnacentral:lncRNA from 1 species
GCCCGAGGGAAAAUGGUACAGGGGGGGGACGCCGGGGCCGGGCCGGGGUCCGGCCGGAGCCUCCGCUGCCUUCAGCGCCGCGCCGCCCCCGGGGCUGCGGCUCUGCCCGCGCCGCCGCUCCCGCGCUAUGGGCAGCCGGGGAAGCGGAGCCGAGCGAGGAGUGGAGGCUGGCCGUGCCCGACGCUUUGCCAUGUAAACCUCCUCGGCCUCGCACACUGCAGCACAGACAGAUGUUGGCACAGCCCCGGACCUGCAGAACGCUCUAAGCACUCGGUGCCACCACAUUUGAAGCCUCGAUGUUUGCUCCAUGUAAUGGCAGAGAAAGCUCUGCCCAUUGCUGCUGCCCCAAAAUGAGCAAGAAAAGACUGGAGGGAAGGCGUAGCGCUGGGCUUGGGGCUUGCGGGGAUGAUGAGUGCUGGCAAGGGCUCUGGAUAGCUGCACAGGCAGCCGCAGGGUCCCCAGUGCCACUCAUGGCUUGAAGAAAGGCAUUUUUGGAGUUAUG